GGAAGCGUCCCUGCUCGGUCCUGAAGUGUUCCCAGUCUCUGCACCCGAAGGUGGGCAGACUGUGGACCGGAACGAAGCCCUCAUAGCCCUGGUACCUGGAACACACCUGGACAGGUGAGACGUUACAGGAGAACAGGUGUCAGGAUGAACGCUGGCGACAGGAACACGUGUGUUGUCAUGGUAACUGCAAUGAUCCUCCUCAUCAUGUCUGUCUGGAACUCACCUGAACAGGCCCGGGCUUCCUGUGUGCUGAUGUUCUGGUACAGCUGGAAGGAUCCGUCCGUCCAUCGGUAGAUUCCUGAACCGGAUCGAGAGUCCCUGGAGAAGAUGGAGUGUUACCAUGGAGACACAGAGGC